CAAAUUGUUACAAAGUUCAGUCAGAGAAUUCCUUCUUUCUGUGGAGUUUUACUCCCUGCUCCUCUGGCUAUCCUCCCGAUGGAUCCCUGUGGUGCCAGGCAGGAAUGGGCUGCUCAGGGACCCAGCAAGUUCCCAGGGCUUUUCUGCUGCUUCCUGUACCCCUGUAUUUUGCUCAGCUCUCUAACUUGACUCAGCUCCAGUUUCUCUAGGUUCAAAAGAAAGAGGAGUGAAGAGGAGUAAAACACACAUCUAUUAAAAAGCAAGAAGAUUAAAUAAAUUGAAGCUUUUUAUUUCUCUUUCUCUGCCUAAGGUGUGUCUGUGAGGGUGUUGCCAAAGGAGAUUAACAUUUGAGUCAGUGGACUGGGAGAGGCAGACCCAUCCUCAGUCUGCACCAUCUAAUCAGCUGCCAGCAUGGCUAGAAUAAAAGCAUGCAGAAGAAAGUGGAAGGGCUUGACAUGCUGAGUCUUCUGGCCUUCAUCUUUCUCCUGUACUGGAUGCUUCCUGCCCUUGAACGUCGAACUCCAAGUUCUUCAGCUUUUGGACACUUGGACUCACACCAGUGGUUUGCCAGGGGCUCUGAGGUCUUCAGCCACAGACUGAAGGCUGCACUGUCGGCUUCCAUACUUUUGAGGUUUUGGAACUCGGACUGGCUUCCUUGCUUCUCAGCUUGCAGAUGGCCUAUUGUGGGACUUCACCUUGUGAUCGUGUGAGUCAGUACUCCUUAAUAAACUCCCCUUCAUAUAUACGUCU
rnacentral:lncRNA from 1 species